rnacentral:rRNA from 1 species
AGAGUUUGAUCCUGGCUCAGGACGAACGCUGGCGGCGUGCUUAACACAUGCAAGUCGAACGGAAAGGCCCUUCGGGGUACUCGAGUGGCGAACGGGUGAGUAACACGUGGGUGAUCUGCCCUGCACUUUGGGAUAAGCCUGGGAAACUGGGUCUAAUACCGAAUAUGACCAUGCGCCUCCUGGUGUGUGGUGGAAAGCUUUUGCGGUGUGGGAUGGGCCCGCGGCCUAUCAGCUUGUUGGUGGGGUAAUGGCCUACCAAGGCGACGACGGGUAGCCGGCCUGAGAGGGUGACCGGCCACAUUGGGACUGAGAUACGGCCCAGACUCCUACGGGAGGCAGCAGUGGGGAAUAUUGCACAAUGGGCGCAAGCCUGAUGCAGCGACGCCGCGUGAGGGAUGACGGCCUUCGGGUUGUAAACCUCUUCCAGCACAGACGAAGCGCAAGUGACGGUAUGUGCAGAAGAAGGACCGGCCAACUACGUGCCAGCAGCCGCGGUAAUACGUAGGGUCCGAGCGUUGUCCGGAAUUACUGGGCGUAAAGAGCUCGUAGGUGGUUUGUCGCGUUGUUCGUGAAAACUCACAGCUUAACUGUGGGCGUGCGGGCGAUACGGGCAGACUUGAGUACUGCAGGGGAGACUGGAAUUCCUGGUGUAGCGGUGGAAUGCGCAGAUAUCAGGAGGAACACCGGUGGCGAAGGCGGGUCUCUGGGCAGUAACUGACGCUGAGGAGCGAAAGCGUGGGGAGCGAACAGGAUUAGAUACCCUGGUAGUCC